CGCCUUACAAUAUGAUCAUGAUCACGAAGGUGGUUCACCCAGGGCGAGGCUCUGCUGUUGCACUUCAGUUGUGCUCACCUUUACAAAUUUCCCAAAUACAGAAAUCUCGACUGCAUGAUUUCUGGUAGUGGGGGACUGCAUUCACGCUCUCUCCUG